rnacentral:lncRNA from 1 species
UGUGAUUCAGUUUUGUAUUGAUUUUUUUUUCCUUCUCAAUUCAGUGACAUUUUUUAAAUACCAACCUAGGAAGAGGGGAAAAAAAACAAAUAUUUGAAUUUUACGUUUUAAGUUCUUUGUUUCUCAAAAAUCUCAACUAAACCAGAGGGGAAUAUUCUGGAAUGGGGCUGCAUUGGGCGAGUAUCAGAACUCCAAAAGACGCCCACCACAAAGCCCAAACCCAUUCCGGAAAGUCUCUGUACUCGCCGGCCUGUGGGAUAAUCCGUGUUUGGUUCUGAGGUCGGCGGUGGGGCACAGAUUGCUUCACCGCCACCUACGGAGUUUGAAGGUAUUCACUAAAGCUACUUAAACGACGUCGUUCAACGUCCGCUUACCCCAAAAACUAGUGAACGGCGUCCUUUUCAUGAUUCUUGGGAUAAUUCGUGUUUGGUUCUGAGGUCGGCGGUGGGGCACAGGUUGCUUCACCGCCACCUACGGAGUUUGAAGGUAUUCACCAAAGCUACUUAAACGACGUCGUUCAACGUCCGCUUACCCCAAAAACUAGUGAACGGCGUCCUUUUCAUGAUCCUUGGAAGUUGGAACUGAUUAUUACCACUUUGCCUAAAACGCUCCGCUUCUUUGGCAAACAGGAGCCUUAUCUGGGAAGGCGAAAGAAUCGGGUAAUCUUCUUUCUCUGAUCUUUCUUCUUUCAAAUAAUAUGCGCUCCGCUUGGCUGCUAAGAAAAUGGAGCAAUUUAAUUUUGCUUUACUUGAGUGAAGCCAAAAUCUUCAUUUAAGCGAGUGUAAUGCGCCUACUAGCCCGGCUUCAUUUGUGUGGAGGCUAAAAAAUUAAAAUCGUGAGAGUCCAACUCUCAUUUUCUUUUCUUUUAUAUUCUUUUUAGUUUCUCGGAGGCCAAACGGUGGGUUUUGUUUUAAUUGCUCAGGAGAACCGUGAAAAAGAUUGCAUUGAGAAAUCAAAUAAACAAUAAAACCUCGAUAUCUCUCCGUUUGGUGAGAAUUAGGUUUUGUGAUUCAGUUUUGUAUUGAUUUUUUUUUUCCUUCUCAAUUCAGUGACAUUUUUUUAAUACCAACAUGGGAAGAGGGGAAAAAAACAAAUAUUUGAAUUUUACGUUUUAAGUUGUUCUUUGUUUCUCAAAAAUCUCAACUAAACCAGAGGGGAAUAUUAUGGAAUGGGGCUGCAUUGGGCGAGUAUCAGAACUCCAAAGACGCCCACCACAAAGCCCAAACCCAUUCCAAAAAGUCUCUGUACUUGCCGGCCUUUGGGAUAAUCCGUGUUUGGUUUUGAGGUCGGCGGUGGGGCACAGGUUGCUUCCCCACCACCUACGGAGUUUGAAAGUAUUCACUAAAGCUACUUAAACAACGUCGUUCAAUGUCUGCUUACCCCAAAGACUAUUGAACGGCGUCCUUUUCAUGAUUCUCGGA